UAAGUGCUUUUAUGUUGGGAUU
rnacentral:miRNA from 1 species